ensembl:rRNA 5S_rRNA 5S ribosomal RNA
AACAGCAGCCAUAUCACCCUGCAACUCACAACUGGCAACCCACUGAAGCUAAGCAGGUGUGAGCCUGGUCAGUACCUGGAUGGGAGACCUCCUGGGAAAAACUAAGGUUGCUCCUGGAG